GAGUUUGAUCAUGGUUCAGAACGAACGCUGGCGGCGUGCCUAACACAUGCAAGUCGAACGGGGAUAGAUAGCUUGCUAUUUAUUCUAGUGGCGCACGGGUGAGUAACGCGUAGAUAAUCUGCCUUGGACUCUGGGAUAACAUUUCGAAAGGGGUGCUAAUACCGGAUAAGCCCACGGGGACGUAAGUUCUUGCGGGAAAAGGGGGCCUCUGCAUAUGCUCUUGAUCCAAGAUGAGUCUGCGUACCAUUAGCUAGUUGGUAGGGUAAGAGCCUACCAAGGCGACGAUGGUUAGCUGGUCUGAGAGGAUGAUCAGCCACACUGGAACUGAGACACGGUCCAGACUCCUACGGGAGGCAGCAGUGGGGAAUUUUGCGCAAUGGGGGAAACCCUGACGCAGCAACGCCGCGUGAGUGAUGAAGGCUUUCGGGUCGUAAAGCUCUGUCUAGAGGGAAGAAAUGAUAUUGGGUUAAUACCCUGAUUUCUUGACGGUACCUCUGAAGGAAGCACCGGCUAACUCCGUGCCAGCAGCCGCGGUAAUACGGAGGGUG
rnacentral:rRNA from 1 species